UACCGUGUGAAGGCAAGGCCUCGCCAGGGGGCUCAGCUGUCAGUGGGGCUGCAGUCAGGGAGGCUUCUGUGCAGCCGUGGGCUGGAGGCACACCUCAGAGGACUGGUGACUGGUAGGGAAGGGAAGGACUUCCUCUGUCCUCUGCCAGCACCCAGGGCCCUGGCCCCGUCCUCCUCAGAGAACUCAUUCCUGGAGAACUGCCCGGGCUUCAGGCUCCAGUCAUCAUGCACAAGCCUCAAGGCCUCAGUGACAAGAGACCCACUCCCUCCAGUUUGAACCGGGAAGCAAAUUCCUGCUGAUGUCAGCACCACUGAGCAUCCAAAAGUUACCUGUAAUGACUAUGCGAUGCUCUGCACAACUGGCCAUUCGACUGCCUCAUGGCUCUAGAUCAUUUUAAUUUGGGAAUCACUGAAUGCCACCGUGUACUCAGACCUAGGCUUAUACCAAUGUGGCUCUGAGGAGAGAUACGUCUCAUUUGUGUCAGCAGGAUGGAAGCAAGGGAGCUGCAGGGAGCCCUGGAUGGCCCCGGAGGAGAGGUGGA
rnacentral:lncRNA from 10 species